GGGCCCGCACAAGCGGAGGAACAUGUGGUUUAAUUCGAUGAUACGCGAGGAACCUUACCCGGGCUUGAACUGCGACUGACCGGCAUAGAGAUAUGCUUUCCCUUCGGGGCAGUUGUGGAGGUGCUGCAUGGUUGUCGUCAGCUCGUGCCGUGAGGUGUCGGCUUAAGUGCCAUAACGAGCGCAACCCUUGCUGUCAGUUGCCAUCACGUACUGGUGGGCACUCUGGCGGGACUGCCAUCGCAAGAUGUGAGGAAGGUGGGGAUGACGUCAAAUCAGCACGGCCCUUACGUCCGGGGCUACACACGUGUUACAAUGGGGGGCACAGCGCGCCGCUACCUGGUGACAGGCUGCCAAUCGUGAAAUCCCCUCUCAGUUCGGACUGGAGUCUGCAACCCGACUCCACGAAGCUGGAUUCGCUAGUAAUCGCGCAUCAGCCAUGGCGCGGUGAAUACGUUCCCGGGCCUU
rnacentral:rRNA from 1 species